GCUUGAAUAGAGAGAGAGAGAGAAAGAGGAAAAGAGUGAGAGAAUAUCUGACAGACACAAUACUAGUAACAAGACCAAAGUGCAUGCUGUAUUCUACUGUACUCUGCUGUGCUGUGGACCAUCAUUUUUCUUGAUCACUUUAAUUCCCACCCCAACACACACAAAAAGAAAAAUUAAUGCCUUCAGAAUCUUCUGAUCACUCAUGCUAUUAAACAUCUGUAAACCUUGUUAAUUGUUUGUCUCAUGUUUGUUUCAUAAAUCUAAACCCAGAUUAAUUAAUUAAGUUGCAUAUAUAUAUAUAUAUAUAUAUAUAUAUAUAUAUGAAUUAAGUUGUAGGAAAUUUCCAGGCAGUGAGGGUAAAGCUAGUCCCAUCACCAGGCAGGCAUGCAUCAGAAUCUUAGGUGGUAGUGGAGCAAUGCGCAGCAGAGGACAAACAUAAACUUGUCGGGCAUCUUCAACUGUAAUGUAACUCUCUCACUCUCUUCUUCAUCUUACUGCAGCUCCACCAAAGUCAUCACUCUUAUCUUACCCUUUUAUUCCACACUUGCCAUAAAAACAAAUUAAGAAGAAACAAAAAGCGCCCCAUCAUCAAACUCUCCCCCUAUAUAUAUAUUCAUAACCCACCUCCGGAGUCUAACUUAAUCCUUUCUCUUUCUUCAUCCAUC
rnacentral:lncRNA from 1 species